GUGGACUGGUUGAUCCAGGAGUGAGUCUGCUGAAGGGGAGGGAGGGCAGGAGCAGAAGUGAUAGAGUGAGUGUGCACAUGGCUCACUCCGGCUCAGUUCCACCACCCAUCCUCAUCUCGCUCUUUUGUGUGGUUUCUUGCGAUGAGCGUCUGCUCGAUUUCUCUGCAGAAACAGGUUUUCCUUUGUGGCUGAAAGUUCACAUUCGGGCUCUUCUUUCCUGUUUUUUUCUGCCCUCCUCGAGCAGGCAGAGCUGUGGACGAGUAACGGGGGCAUCGUGGAUCUGAAGGGGGGGACCACUAGAGCAGGUCCGGACUCGUCGGGGAAUUCUCCAUGAACCUGAUAGGAGAACUUCACAGCCUGCAAGUCACAGCCGCCGAGGCUUUUUAAGCUUCCCAUCCAGUCACCUGCAGAGUUCCCAUGAACACCUCAUGUCUCUUAAUGUCUCUGUGAUUAAAAGUGAUUUUUUAAAAACUU